GCAGAUUACUGUGGUUUGGAAACCAGCAGGAGGUAAGAAAGCAGAGACAACAAUUAUGGGCAACUUGUUCAAGUAUUUGGACUGUGACAAGCAAGAGAGAGAAGCUCAGAAAGAAAUGUGAAGAAUGCAAGUUCAUGACUUUCUCCAACCUAAGACCUAGAUGUGAAGAGGUAAUGCCUGGCUUAUUUCAACAAGAUCAAUUCUAAAGCCAUCUUCGUGAAUAAUUGAUUUACUCCAACAAGCUUGAGAGUUUUCUUUGGACUUUGCUUCAUGAAUCCCUCUACACACCUUCUGGGGUGACACUGACUGAAUCCAUCACUAGUCGAGAAACCCAGACACAGGAGAACAACAGAAUAGCAAAACAAAGAGUUGAGGAAAUGAAGUAGAACUGUACUCAUGCCCUGGCUGUGUUUAUACAGAGCAUUCCAUGCAUUGCCAUCCAAAAAGGAAAGGAAAAAGUGAAUUCGACAUACCCAGGCAGUGAGGUCUGUCUAAUUAAGAACAAAGUUGAGUGUUAAGAAGAAACCACUGAUGCUCAUGGAAUCAUGGUUUUUAUUUUAUUUUUAUUUUUUAAUUCCAUUAGUCAUAGAUUUUAUUAAAGUUACAGUGUGAUCCUGGAUUGCAAAUGUCAUUUAUUUCCUGAUUAGUCAAUGCCAAAUGAACACUGGGCCUCCUUUAAGAAGGCUUCUAUACCAGCAGUCUCCCUUAGCUGACAGUGUAGCUUGCCUGCUUGAUACAGGACAAUUCCUGUUACACUGACAAUGCUUCUCUCUGGCUAAUAGGAAAAGUGUCACACUAAGGAACUCAUAAGUAUCAGGAGGCCAGAGGCUCACUGUUGACCUCUGUAGAAAACUACCCACGGAAACUGUUCUACUACAAAAACACUCUUUUGUGGUUACUUUGGGCAGCCAAGCUGAGAGACUUAGUUUAACAGAAAGUCACACAGGACCAGAAACGAACUGGAGGCUGGAAAUCAAAGAUCUAAAAUGUAUAACUCUUAGAAUCCCCAGAGUAGCCCAGACAGUAUUGAAUGAGCACUGUGUUUUGACAUUGCAAAAAUCCCCUACAUUACCAAGUUGAUUUGAACCUCGCACAGUAGGUCAGAUAAGGGUCAGCCAAUGCCAUCCAAACUGAGUAGCAAAGUUUGACUAAGCAAAUGUCUUUAUAUCCAUGCAUGUAUUUGCAUAACAUUUAGUAAUAAACCCAAGUUGGCUUCUUAACGUAAGAGGAGUCUGAUAUUUAUCCUAGGUUUGAAGUGGGCUGUAUAUUAAAGUGAGGUGUUAGAGAAAGGGUCAAUGAUAGUGCUUCCAACUAUCCUCAAUGUUCAUUAUGAAAACAUUCUUUUUGAACACAUAGGAAGGAGUGUUUAAUUCAUACUACCAAAUUCUCGUUCAUAGUUGGCUGUAUAUGAAUCUCCAGAAAUGUCAGAUGAAAGACUUGGCACUUUGAAGAAUCUAAAACAAGAAGAGAAUAAGUACUAUAUCAUUCUAAGAAGAAAGGAACUAGUAUUUUCAUAUACAUAAUCAUACCAGACACUUUUAUAUUUUUUGUUUAAUUCUCACAACUUUUUAUGGAACUAGUGUUAUUUGCAUUUACGGGUGACGAAUUUGAAGCUCAAGGAGCCCUGGUAGUGCAGUGCUUAAGCACUUGGCUGCUAACCAAAAUGUCGGCCGUUCAAACCAACUAGCCACGCCACACGAGAAAGAUGUGGCAGUCUGCUUCUGUAAAGAUUUACAGCCUUGGAAACCCUAAGGGGUAGUUCUACUCUGUCCUACAGGGUUGCUAUGAAUUGGAAUCAACUCGACAGAAAUAGAUUUUUGUUUUGUUUUGUUUUGUUUUGUUUUGGAAUUUGAAGCCCAGAGAGUUUUAGUAAAUUGCCUACCCCACACAAUAUGCAAGUUGACAGAGUCAAGAUGCUGUUCUUUUUUAUAAAUCUGAAAAGAAAAAGAGGGUGAAUUGUUUUUUUCAUUUUGGACUCAUUGAUAAAUGUGGUUAUUUACAUAGCACAUUAUAGCUUGUGAAAGGCAAACAUGUUGACUUCACUUGAUUAUUUUUCUUCAAAAAAAUAGAAUAUAUUCUUGCAUGUUGUGACAAAAGUUGAAAUGAGCAUGGCAUUUUUGGGUUUGAAUAAAAUAUAACAUAUUUUUUAAAGAGUGCACAUUUGUUCCAAAUGUUUUCUGAGAACUGUUAUUCUAUUAACUGAUGAACAUGAUGACAGGGGCACCAUUUAGAGGAAAUGAUUUAUUAUUACAGUGCAGUCAUAUGUCUGUAUGAAUGUUCUAUCCAUCAGAUUCUGACCCACUGUCAGCACCAUGAGAACCCUGAGCUGUUUCUCCAGAAAUGGAGAAGUGAUUGCCUUGAAUCAACUAGAUUUUCACUCAGUUCUUGUUGUUACCAAUAGCCAAUACUUAAAAUAUGUCUGGAUAGGACUAAUUUUCUUUAUCCAGCACUAACAGGUACCUUACAAAGAUUGCCUGUGGUCUCAUAGCAAUGAUGAUGAUGAUGAUAACGAUGGUGUAGUUAAUAGCUACUUAGCAAGGAACAUGCAGCUGGUUAGAUGGUAGAAAGUAGAUUCUAACUCAGGUCUGUCAUGCCAGAACGUAGGUUUUGAAUACAGGUCUUACAAAUUCAUACUUUUAAAAUUGAAUGCACAAAUUGCAGGCUUAAGAACCAUGUUAUUUUCACAACAGUUUAGGCUAAAAAUAACACAUAUAUAAGUUAACUAAGGGUGACAUUGUAAUUUACCACAUUUCAUCAAUUAUAAUAAACGUGCUUUUUUCAGAUUUUAGCAUCUCUGAAAUCAGGAUGCAUUUUAGUUUUGUGUCACACUUUAAUUGGCAGUGAUUUUUCCCCCAUUUUAGUGGUAUGUACAAUAAUAGUGUAACUUACAAUUGAUGUCAUCUUAGAGUUCAUUAAAUAUAGUAAAUUAAAGCCGAAUCUUGUUUACUUAACAGACUAUAAGAAUAACCUGGCUACCUUUAAACCUUAAACCAAAAAUAUC